UUAAAUUGAAGAGUUUGAUCAUGGCUCAGAUUGAACGCUGGCGGCAGGCCUAACACAUGCAAGUCGAGCGGAAACGAGUUAUCUGAACCUUCGGGGAACGAUAACGGCGUCGAGCGGCGGACGGGUGAGUAAUGCCUAGGAAAUUGCC
rnacentral:rRNA from 1 species